rnacentral:lncRNA from 1 species
GAAACCUUGGUGUUUGGGCACAUAGGCCGGAACCAUGUAUCAAGGUUACAUCUAUACGUAUCGAGUGUCCCAGACAGAAACAGGCUCUUGGAGUGCUGAGACAGCACCUGGGGUACAUAAAAGAUUUUUCCGGAAAGUAAAAAAUCUCAUUUCAGCAUUUCAGAAGCCAGAUCAAGGCAUCGUAACGCCUCUGCAGUAUCCAGUUGAAAAGUCCUCGGCUAGGAGUCCACAAGCUCCCACAGGGAGAAGAGAUUCUGAUAUCUGCUUGAAAGCGCCAUGAAGAAGAGUAACUCUGUACUUUAUUUUCAAUAAUUUAAGUAUGUUCCAAGUCUUGUAUAUUGUAGCUAAUACAGUUCAGCGAGCUGCAAAUGCCUUUUAAACACGACUCGAGUCCUGUAAUAGCACUCGCCUGAUGUCAAAGCUGCAAGUGGACGUGGUAGAUAACAAGUGCUUUAAAGCACGGAUUGGAAAACAGAAUCCCUUAGGGUAUUUUUAGUUGCCGUAUUUACAAAUGAGAAACAAUUUAAAAGCACAAUGAAGACUUUACACAAGAUUAAUGUCGAUUCUUGCCAAAUGUAAAUAAAAAUAAUCUCCUUUUUUUUUUUGGUCAAAA